CGCCCCCUCCCCACCACGUGACAGGCGGCGCGCGCUCUGCCUCGCGGCCCCACCCCCCGCGCGGCUUCCCCUGUGGACCCUGGCCUGUUCUGAGGGGCUCAAGGCUGCUUACGCGUGUCCGGGACGACAGCGCCCGCCUCAUGCAUUUCUGGUAGAGAACUGGGAAAAGCGGCCCAAGGUCCCGGCCUUAAAUGGAAGGGACGGGCGCACGGAGUAGCCACAGAGCGACUGGAAGAGGAGGGACCGGGCAGCGUUUGAAUGGACGUGGUGCAGCCUCCACGGAAAAGGCGUUCGGGGCCGGCGCCAGAGCCCGGGCAGUGGACUGAGAUGCACGGAAGCCAACUGGGCCUGGCGCUUGGGUUCCUGAGCUCGGGGCCUGUUCCUUCUCUAUAAAACGAAGACAGUAAUAGAACAGACCUCAUACGUAGGCGCGUAGGAAGUUUCCGUGAGAGAAUGUGCGAAACUUUUUCACCCCAGAGCCUGGUCUGUGUCGGUUACCGAAUGAAUGGUGGGUAUUAGAGAGCAGUCGGUGAGGAGAGCAGACAGCAAGGAUGGCCUUGAACUCACUAUAUAGUCCCAGCUGGCCUGGAAUUCAGUGAUCAUCCUGACUCAGCCUACCGAUUGCUGGGAUUAUAGCUACUUUUGAGAGGUCAAGUCACUACUCUGGAGGAAAUACCUGAUUCAGAAUCUUUGGAGGCAAAGAGAGAUAAGGAUCUUGCUGAGUUGCUAAACUGCCCAAGCUGGACUUGAUCAUCCCCCUGCUUCAACCCUCCAGAGUGCUGGAAUUAUAGGUGUGCACCAUCAUGACUGGCUCAGCAGAUAUUCUCCACUCCUUUUGUCAAGAUGUUUCUGCCUUGGGGCCAGCUGACCAUGAACUGAAACCUCAGGAAAUCUGAUGCCUAAACUUUCGAACCUGAUACUAUCCAGCAAAACAGAAUAGAGGAACCUCAGUCAAAAACAAGAUGUGAAAGCGAAAUAGGCUGACACUAUAGAGACCAAGGAGGAAGUGGACAAAUUUAGAAGAGGCUGAUCUUGUGAAGACUGGGAUGUGAAAUUACAGGCAAGGGACACAGAGAAAGCAGAGGCCAGGAGGAGAAGGGCUUCAAGACCCAGGAAAGCCUGUGUGCCCAGAGCAAAAUGCAGAGACAAACAGAAGAAAGAGUCUUCAUUCCAAGACCUUCUGUGUUGGAGGUGUGACAUUUCAGGGUGCAGUUGGAGCUUCCAAACUUCUACCUGACUUUCAUGUUUUUGUUCCCUUCUGCUGACUAAUACGCCAAGACUUCACCUCAGUGUUCUGUCUAAACCAACAGCCCAGUCUCUCCAUCUCCCAUCUCUGGGGGAAGAUUAAGGGAGGAAGGUGAGCUCCCAAUAACUGUAUUAAGUGGUCCCUAAGCAAGUUUAUCUAUUGUUUGUUUGUCCAUGUUUUAGCGACAAUCUUUGUGUUUUCAAUGUAUUUUUACUGAGUCUAAGUCCUUUAAUUUCAAAGUGAGCAAAAUAAAACAAACCAUCUUCAUUACAAUUGAUUUAAAAACUCAAGCAAUGAAUAGGAUCAGAGGGCUAGCUCUCUUCUUUGCCUCGUGCUCGAGGGUGGUCUGCUGGGAAACUAGUUUAGUCAGAUAGAUGGACAGAGAUUUCUCCAAUGUAAGCAUAUUCCAGGGACAAGAGUUGAAAAGCAGUGAAUAUUUGACGGCUUUCACUCAAAUUGGUCAAGAUCUCCUUGCACAAAUCCAAUGAAGCAACAAGGCCAUCCACAAGCAGCGUCUCCACCAAGGACACCCUUCCCCUUCUCCCUGAGUCAGAGUGAGCUCAGCCACCCUCAGGGAAGCCUUCUUCUGACUUCCUGUAGCAGUGUGGUUGGGUGUGAGCUGCGCUUAGGGUUUCUGCACGCUGCUUUCACCUCCAGUGUGGUAUGGUAGCUUAGUUAUUAUGAGUGGACAGUUAGAACAGGCAAAAGAAAGGGCAAGGUUGAAGAGCUGUCUUUUUCAUUAACAUUUCUUCCUAUUAAGAGUUAGUCUGAAUAUAUAUUCAUUGCAGGUUGGACUAUAAGCAGUAUAGAGAUAACCUGCUCUUUCCACCUAUACCUAAAGUAAACUUGGAAGAAGUUUGAAACCAUUCUUUUUAUAUAUCUAUGUAUGUUUUGCCAAGCUUAAAAAGAGUGUAUAAUUAAAACAUUUGUGAAUUUCAAAAGAAGAAGAAGAUGAAGAAGAAGAAGAAGAAGAAGAAGAAGAAGAAGAAGAAGAAGAAGGAGAAAGAAAAGAAAAACAAAAUAGCUCAGGUUAAGAAUUAGUCCAAACAGCUGGUUAAGCUUAGAAAAAUAAAAGAAAACACAAGAACCACCACCCCCCAAAAAAGAAAGCAAGAACAAAACAAGAACCAAAGAUUAAGGGUUAGGAUUAGGAUACAACCCCUGGAAGAAGAGCUCACAAUAGUGUCCUCAGCUGACAGCUCCACCCUACCUCCAUACCGAACUUGAGAAACUGAAGAAAUUUGAGAAAUGCAAAAUAACCAGUUUCUUCAGAACUCAUUUAAAACAAGCUGAUUGCCGUGUGCUCUGCUUAUUCACAUAGGAGCAGGACAAAAAACACGAUUUGGCCUUUCUUUUGGAAUCUCCUCCUAGAGACCUUUACUUUUUUCUUAUUUCCAAUGAAACACUCUUAAAUUCCUCCUCUUGGCUUGCGACUUCAUUCUUCCACUUUGUGAAACUAAGAACUCAGUUUGUUUUGUACAGAAUUAACUGCUUCAGUAGCAUCAUCAAAGACUGAUUGCAAAUUGAUUGCCAUGGCACAGCAUAUGUUUCUCAAGAGGGUGUUUGUUUAUCACUGCUGUUUUUGACAAGUAUUUAACACCAGGAAAAAGAAAAGGGAAGAGAAGAUGGGAAAGACAGGAGGAAGGGGAAUGAACCUCGGCAACCCUUAUUUUCAGCCUCCAACCUCUUGACUCCCUUCUCUGCCUGGCUCCUCACUCCUAGAAAGAGGACAGUUUCCCCAGUCACCAGACAAGGAAUAUCAGAAGAGUUUCCUGUUUUGAAAAAAAAAAAAAAAAAUGCAUGUUAAGUUUCCAGUUUUUUGAGACUGGCACAGAAACAGACAAAGUGUUUAUGCACUGAUAGCAUAUUUUUUAAAAAAAUUCCAGUUUCUAUGAAAACCUUUGUUCUGAGUCCAGUUUAGCCCUGUGAAGAAAUUGAAAGCUCCAUCUCUGUUUUUGAUUCUAAUGAUGACUUGAGGACUUUCCUCUUGCUCAAUUUGUUCAUCCAUAAAAUGAGCCUGUGUUUUAAUUUGUGUGAUUUCUGAUUCAUUAGUCAGUUGUCAUCAAUUUAUGAGCAGGUUGCAACUGGCAUUUUAGAGUUAAAAUCAGAGUGUACUGUUUGUGGCAAGGUAAAGAUUAUUUCAUGACACUUGGUUUUGGUUGUACUUUGGGACACAGGUACUAGAUUAUGGGGUAAAAUGUACUUUCAGUAUGUUGAAGUUAAACAAAAAAUUUAAUGAAAUACAAUAAAAACUAACAAGAGCAAAAUCUAAAAAGAAGUCAGACAAUAUGAUUUUUUUUAAAAGUCCCUAUCAUUUUAAUCCACAUGAAUUUGACAAUGUAACCAUUCUAACAGGGGGAAAGAAAGACUGACAGGAAGUGAAAGAGAGAUUCUUUAGAAUAGUUCAAAACAGGAAGCCCACUACAGAACAGGUGGAACCAAGAGAAAGACACCAGAAAGCUAAAAAACAGAAAUUCUCUUCAAAAAAAUUGUUCACUUUGGCCCCAAACUGCCUUUCCAGCGUUAAGUCUCUACCUCGGGUAUUGCCUUAUUUCUGAUUGGAAAGAACACUGUUCUCAGGGAGCUGUUCUCUCCAACCCCACCCUCCCUUCUCCUGUGGUUAUUUAUAGUCUUUAUGCCCUUCCUACUCCUCUCCCCCAUCCCCUGGCACCCGUGGAAGCCUGUAGGUGCUGGGUCUAAUUACUAGUGGGAUCUGGCUCAGCUCUGUUCAACCCUGGUGGUCUGCAGCAUAUGUUCCAUGCACUCUCUGUGUCUGGAAUGUGGAGGGGUAGUGGUGAGGUAGGUACAAGGGAGGGUGAACUGUAGAUUGUCUGCAUUGUAGGGGCAGAGGGAAAUUUCCCUUCCACCCCCUGAAGUUUCCCUGAAAUAAAUUGUGGAAAUUAUAUGAGAGAAAUAGAAAUUUAUUAAGGUAUAAAAGAGGAGAAAUCACAGCACGGGAAAAAUCGUGGGACUGUUAUUAGCCACUAGCCCAUCAUGAAUGAAGAAUUUAUGUACCAAAUCUAGUGUGGUGACACAUGCCUAUAAUCCCAGCAUGGGAGGCUGAGGCAAGAAGAUCAAAGGCCAUAGGUUCAAACUCAGGACCAAAAAGAAAGAAAGAAAGCAAGAAAGAAAUGAAACUUAUAGAGCCCCCUUUUGACAGAGGAGAGAAAAGGUAAUAUCUGAGAAAUUGUAAAUGAUUUUAGGGGAACUUGAUGGAGUUGGAGAACAUAUUGUACUCUGGGGCAAAGUCCAAUAGUACUGCAGAACUGAAAACAGAUUACUAAUAAUUCACCAAGAAUUAAAAAAAAUACUUAAAAACAUUUUUAAAUUUUUUAAUUAAAACAUUUUGGUUUUGGCUGGGGAUUUUAGCUCAGCAGCAUAAGCACCUGCCUGGCAAGUGCAAGGUCGUGAGUGAUCCCCAGUACUCCCCCCAGAAAUUGUUUUGUUAUAUUUUUUGAGACACACACAGUCUUGUUAUAUAGCCCAAGACUGACUUUGAAACCCUGUGAUCCUUCUAUUUCAGCCUUCUUGCGUGCUGGGAUUACAUAAUUCAAAAAAAAUUUUUUUAAAUGUUUAAAAUUUGAGAUAAGGUCUGGCUAAAUUGCUCUGGCUGAGCUAGAAUUUGCAAUCCUCCUGCCUCAGCAUCUUGAGUACCUAGGAUUACAGGCUAAUACUCCACUACCAGCAGAUUGUAAAUGACUAUGGCACCAAAAUGGAGGAUAAUGCUGUGUAACAAGUCUGUCCAGGAAUCACUAGUGGAACAAGUUUAAUAUAAAAAUAUAUAUGAUAUAUUAGGAAUAUUCAAAGUAGACUUCCAAUGGCUACCAGCAGAGUCAGGGUGAAAGCAUGCAAAAUGGCUGUCUGCACAGUGGAAAGCCAGAAGACCCAGUUGAAAGUCAAAGGCCUGGAGCUCACUGCAGAGUCCUGUGCAAGCCUGUACUGGGAAGCCAAAAGGUCUACACUGGAAGGCUCAAAGAACUAAUGAUAAUGUUCAAAGGUGAUGGAGAAGAGCACCUUCUAAGGAGCAAAAGGACAGACUUCCUUCUUCUUUCCCUUUUAUUCCAUCCAGACCACAAGCCUAUUGGCUGAUACCAUGAUCCUGCAUGGAUCUUCCCUAUUCAGUUUACAGCCUACAUGUCAAGCAACACAAAGAACCGUGCUCUGCUAAUCCACUAGAUAUUUCUUUUUCUUUUCCUUUUUGUUUUUUUGGUUUUACUGAGACAGGGUCUCACUCAGUUCAGGCUGACCUUGAGCUCAUUUUGUAGCUCAGGUUGAUUUCAAACUCGAGAAUUUACAAUGAUUCUCCUGGCUCAGCCUCCUGAGUACUGAGAUUAUACAUUUGUGCCACCACGCCCAGCUCUCCUAGAUGUUUCUUAGUCUAUUUAAAUUGACAGCACAGGCUGCGGCCCCUCCAGGGGGAGAACCACCAGCUCCUCCUGAGAUCUGUGCCAUGCUGGAACUUAGGAUGCUGGGAAACCAAGCAAGCAGCUCCCCUCCCUGGUAAGCGGCUGUGGUGUGGCAGGUUGUGGCCUCUUCAGGGAAGAACCACCAGCGUCUCCUGAGAUCCGUGCCAUGUUGGAACUUUACAACACUGGGAAACCAAGCAACCAACCUGCCUCCCUGCUAAGCAAUAGUGAGCCUUCUGGUGAACGGGCUGAGAGUCAAACAUCCCACUUCCCUUACCCCCCUUCUCCUGCCCCCCAUUAACAGAUGGGAACCAGAGAUCUGAGCAUCUCUGGGGAGGUUGACCAUAGCAAAUAAGGGGGAUUUCCUUAUACCAUCUCUUUGAAGGCAAAUAUUUUUAUUACUGUUUUGCUCUAUUCUGAUUAAUGGUACUGCUCUAUUCAAUAUUCUGUUUUGAUAAGUUCUAUAAUGUUCUGUAUUUCAUUUUGAUAUAUGUAAUUGAAAGUACAACUAUUGUGAAAAUAACAAGAUAUACUGCGAUACCUAUUACAGAUACCCCAGUAACCUGCUGUGAAGCUCUGUACCAAUUUCACCACACUGUCUCAGCUGGCUUUAUUCUGUCUUGUUCUGUUGUAUUUUACUACCUUCAAAAUAAAUAAAUAAAUAAAUUGACAGCACAAUGAACCAUCACACCAUAA